AAAAUGUAUAACAUAUCUCAUACUUUGUACAUAACUAGCUCAUCUUCAUAUAAUCAAUUCUUAGUUAUAUCUCUCAAUAGUUUGCAAACAAUGGCUUCUUGUGGCAUUGCUUCUUGUUUCGUGAUUUUGAUUGCAACAUUUUGUGUAUUGAACUCAGAAGCAUGUACUCACGACUCAGAGUGUCAAUUGAAUUGUGAACAUCUCGACCUUUGUGACUUAAAAACCAAAAAAUGUAGUUGCUUGCCAGUAUUUGAGCCACUACCAUCCAAUGAUGCUAAAUGCAGCAAAGAUUCAGACUGCGCCAAGCCAUGUGGACAAGGUUGCAAACACUAUAACUGUGUGCGCGGCUAUUGUUUGUGCCAUUGUACUGCAUAAAAAAUAUACUGUUUUCUUUCAGAGGCUCCAAUUUUAGGCCUUUCAAUAAUUUGUACUAAAAAUUAGUGAAUAAAAAUGGGUGUAAAAAGAAUUAAUUUGCUUUUUGUUAUACUAAAAA